CCAGACAGUCUCACUCUCCAGGCGUCAUGGUUUUUCUUCCCUACCCGCCCCCCAACCAACUGCUGACGUCACAGAGGAAGAAUGCAGCUGCGGUGUGAUUCACGGACUUCUCAUGGUCACGUGACUAAUAGGAAAUAGGUUCACAACUGGACACUGUCCUCUCCUAUUUACUAGGACAGGAUGGUGUACCUAGUGUCACCAUUUCCCAGCUGAGGAAGUCAAGGCCCUGAAACACCAUGCAGAUGGCAAGUUCCUCAUGGAAAAGAGGAGACCUUUUGAUCCCAACAUCCCCACAGUACCCAACACCAAGGCUGGCUCCCAAAGACCUUAAGCAUGGAUUGCUCGGUUGUUGGAUGAACUGACUACUAGGCACAGCUAGCUGAAAGGCCAUCUUCCCCAAGGAGGCUUCACGUCCUCACCAUUUUAAUCCCCCUCUUUGCCUCCUGCAUGCUGCUCUUCUCUGCACUUGUGGGCAUCUGCUCUGUUAUGUCACCUGUUCCUUUGGGAGCUGUCAAGGCCGUCUUUGUAUCCUUAAUAAAUGUUGACGAGCAAACACGUAAAGGAAUGCAUGGACAUAUGGAUGGAUGGAUGGAUGGAUGGAUGGAUGGAUGGAUGACCGGACACAUGGAUGGAUGGGUGGAUGGACUCGUCAAUAAACAAAUGUACACAGAGAUAAGAGGAGGGAAACACGAAGUACUGGGACACAGGGGUUAAGAGGUUGUAUAGUGGAAAAAAACAGUGGAUUCCAUGGCAGAGGCUCCAAAUUCUAUAGAGCUUUAUCCCUCACUUGCUGUGUGACCUAGGAAAAGUUACUACUCUCCUGGGCUCUUUGUACUUGUGUUUAAAAAGAAGGGUUGCAAAGGACUAGAACUGUUGCAACUCCCCAUUCUCGGGUUCUGUGAAUGGAAAGUUCGCUUGAACAAACCCAUUAACGGAUGUUUUGCCCCUCCACCCUUGAAAGCAGCCAAUCUCUUCAACCAGCGGCUUA